rnacentral:rRNA from 1 species
UUUUUUCGUGGAGGGUUCGAUUCUGGCUCAGGAUGAACGCUGGCGGCGUGCUUAACACAUGCAAGUCGAACGGGAUCCCGGGGGU